rnacentral:rRNA from 1 species
UACAGAGGGUGCAAACGUUGCUCGGAAUUAUUGGGCGUAAAGCGCGUGUAGGCGGCUUGUUAAGUUGGUUGUGAAAACCCAUGGCUCAACCAUGGAAGUGCGUCCAAAACUGGCAGGCUAGAGUUCUGACGAGGAUGGCGGAAUUCCCAGUGUAGAGGUGAAAUUCGUAGAUAUUGGGAGGAACACCGGUGGCGAAGGCGGCCAUCUGGGAAGAUACUGACGCUCAUGCACGAAAGCGUGGGGAGCAAACAGG